rnacentral:rRNA from 1 species
GAUCAUGGGCUCAGGAUGAACGCUAGCGACAGGCCUAACACAUGCAAGUCGAGGGGCAGCGGAGAGGUAGCAAUACCUUUGCCGGCGACCGGCGCACGGGUGAGUAACACGUAUGCAAUCCACCUGUAACAGGGGGAUAACCCGGAGAAAUCCGGACUAAUACCCCAUAAUAUGGGCGCUCCGCAUGGAGAGCCCAUUAAAGAGAGCAAUUUUGGUUACAGACGAGCAUGCGCU